AUUGAACGCUGGCGGCAGGCCUAACACAUGCAAGUCGAACGAGUGGCGGACGGGUGAGUAAUGUCUGGGAAACUGCCCGAUGGAGGGGGAUAACUACUGGAAACGGUAGCUAAUAACGCAUACCAUCGGAUGUGCCCAGAUGGGAUUAGCGGGUGGGUGGGGUAACGGCUAACCAAGCCGACGAUCCCUAGCUGGUCUGAGAGGAUGACCAGCCAAAUUGGAACGGAGCCACGGUCCAUACUCCUACGGGAGGCAGCAGUGGGGAAUAUUGCACAAUGGGCGCAAGCCUGAUGCAGCCAUGCCGCGUGUAUGAAGAAGGCCUUCGGGUUGUAAAGUACUUUCAGCGAGGAGGCGUUACUCGCAGAAGAAGCACCGGCUAACUCCGUGCCAGCCGCCGCGGUAAUUC
rnacentral:rRNA from 1 species